UUCGUUCGGUUGACAGUGUCGCUAUUCGGUUCCGAUGACGACGACGACAACGGCGGUUCUCUUGUAUGCCACCGUAGCUCUCAGCAGUAUUCAGUGAAGGUACAAAGAAGUGGUGUGUUGCACAUUACGCCAGACAAGUGAAGACUAGCGGGUGUGUUCGCGGUGAGGUGUUCCACUAAUAUAGCAGCAGGCAUUAAAGGUUUUUUUUUUAAUUCCUGUUUCUUCGCGUCGUUCGUUCUUCCGCGAUUGCAUCGUCGUCGGUUGCCCGUCAUCUCGCGUUCCCCUUGCGGGUGUCAGUGCACUCGGGCUGGCGUUUUGCUGGUGCAGUAGCGAGCAAAAAUGGAGUUGUGCAUUUGAAAUUCACCGUAAAUACAAAGGCAGUACGAAGAAACGAAAAUAAUUCAAUAAUUGAUUGAAUAAUAAAUAAAAUCCUUUUCGUGCUGUCACACAGUCGGCGGGGAGGACCGUGCCAGGGUUGGAAAUAUUUCGGGUUUUGCUAUAGUCUUGAUCAUUCAUGUACACACUCACGCGGCUCAUAUGGGAAUUGGAAUAAAUUCAAUUCGCAAUUCGGUCAGAGUGCAUACGAGAGCUUCGACCAAGUGCAGAAGUGGAAUCCAAUCAGAAUUUGACCAGUGAAAUUGGUAAAUUGUUGCAACUAUUCUGCCUGAGCAGUAUUAUUUGGUGCAGGCUGGCCGUGAUGUAAGGCCGUGAUGGUCGGAUAGUAGAAGUGGAAUUCAGCGAAGCAGCAGCAACAGCAGAAGUAGGCAGUCCCCGUUUCGCAAAAUCAAUGCGAAAAUGUGCUCAGCCUACAUCUGAAAUUCAUGAGUUUACCGAUCGAAUAAAUACAUCCAGCGAAUAAAGUUUACGCUUACAAACAACGGUGAAAACGAGUGCAGUCCAGAGGGAAGAAAAAAAAUUCAUGUGAAGUUUUCAAGCCCCGAAGAAAGAAGAGUGAAGUGGAAAAAUUAAAUUUGAUUAAAUUGAUUGAACAUUCGUCCGCAAUUAAUGCAAGUGAGCCGGUUUUAAAAAUUGUGUUUGGGUAUUUUUUGUUGUUGUUGUUUGCAUCAAAAAGCAGCCUCUGGCUUCGCAGCAAAUUGUGCAGUUUUGUGUAUCAACAACGCGACCGACAAGACCUUCGCAACGUGUUUUGUGUUAGUGCUUCGCGGUGUGUUUGUGCGAUCGUGUGUGUGUCGUUUAUUGAAACGCGAGGAAAAUCGUGCAAAACAGCUAGGCUGUUCUGAACGUGUUCAAGCGUGUUCAGGCUGGCGUUCAGUUUCGUCAUAGCGAAAUCAUUAAUCUAACGUGAAGAAUAACAAAUUCGCAGCAAAAGUUUUCGGUGAAGAAUCCCAAUUUUGUUUUAAGAAAGAAAAAACCGGAAAAGGGAUAACCCCAUCUGCACCGACCGACAUCAAUCAGCUGUCACCAGAAAAAGAAAACAACUCAUAUUCAACUCGUCGGAUUAUUCUGCUGAUAUCUUCACACACACACGCCCAUACGUCACAGCAGCCAGUUCCGACGAUCGCGCUUCUACAUCCUGGGCUCUAUUUUGAAAGGUAAUUACUAAACGGAUAUUUCAGAAUAGCGGUGAAGUGAACAUAUAUGAAAUUUAUAUUCAAACCAUAUGUAAUUCUUGGAAAGUUUAAAGUUGAAAAUCUAGCUUAUUCUUCAUACAAAGUGCUUAUUAUUGUAAUGGUUGAUUAAAAUAAGAUAAAAUAUGAUGAAAAUCAUCACCUAGUCAGUGACCACGAAUAGAUUAAUUUUUUCAACUUCAUCAUAAUUAGACGAAUGCUUGUCAGCCUAAUCAUGCUCUACUAUAGACCGGAACAAACAGUAAUCGGAAGCAGCAAUUUCUGGGCUAUACGGCGGGUGGGGUAGAACUUCCCAUGUGAGCGUUUCUAGGUAUGUUUUUUUACCGGCUGUGCAAUAUGUUGGCGAGUAUUUUCAUGUUGCAAAAUUAUUUUGUCGUGCCGUGUCGACGCGGCAAUUGUCGUCGGAAGACAAAAUUUUAUGCACGAAACAUUUUUUUUUCAUACCGUUAAAGCAGUUGUUCAACGUCCCACGGUACCGAAUUGCCUAGCUUUCGAAUAAUUCCUCUUAUUUUUAAACGUUGGCAAAUGGCUGAAUGAGUAACAAGCAAACCACCAUACCAAAAUACCACCAAAAUACGAUUACUUUCGGCGACUGUUUUCUCCAUAUUGGAAUAAUAGAGUAAAACUCUCCGCAAAAACAUGAAAAAUCACUAUUGUUUCUUAUGAUUCAGCUAUACUGUAUGACAAACGCUUUCCAACGCAUAUUUGGAAAGUCAAAUCACUGGUAUGAAAUUCUAAUUACGCCACCUAUUAGAAAACGGCACGAAGUUAUUCAUACACCUGUUAAUUUUAUCUCGGUAGCCGGAUGCCUAGAGCUUGAGCUUGAGCAAUUGAGAAUUUAUUAAGGUUGAGAUUAAGAUUGCUUUAUUUUUAUCAGUUCGUUAACUUAUAUAGUCUAUUCCCUCCUAGCCUAGCUAAUUAGUUCUUACAAUUGGGAUCACUGAGAAUCCAGGAGGCGGAGUUAGAACGCGCAAUGUAAAUCGGGUUUAACCAAUGGGACUCGUUGUAUUGUGUCGGCUAUUGUAUAUUUUGUGGGUAAGAGAGUGCGUAAAGCUUCUUGAUGAGCGUGAGCGGGUGUGAUACGGAGAGGAGAGGGCGAUAGCAUGUUGGGUUAUUCUCGUGAGUGUCGGUUUGAGUUACUGUUAUUCUAGGUCGUGUUGACUUGUAUCGAUUGUGGGACAUGAGGGACGUGAAGAAGAGGGAAGCGACACAGGCUGUUGUGUUUUUGUUUUCUGUUAACUUCGAUGACAUAACGAUUUGAAACUUGAUGCUUCCUCGUUUCUGUAGUCGAAUUUUAUGACCACGGCGUUUUUUCGCGGGGCGCCGGAUCGUGCAAGUGCUGAUAUUUUAGUUGCCUUCAUGUAGGUAAUGUUUUUUUUUUUAUUUUAUGUAGGUUUCUAGAUUUUUGUGGAAGGGGGCUUUUACGGGUUCUUGUUAAGUGCGUGUGGUCUGGGGUGUGUGAAAGAUUUAGUCUUAAAUAUUCAUAUGACAUGGUCUGGAAUGUGUGAGGAGAUUUAAUGUUAAAGGCUCAUAUUACACGAUCACUCCUGGUUGCUGCUCCGUUACAAAUCGGGAUUAACUGAAAUUGUACAGGGAAUAUCUAGAUGAUUCUUCUGAUAAUCCCAGAAUUCAUUGAUCAGUACCGGCCCGAAUGUAGAUCGUCUAAGAAAUGGGAAGGGAUGUUAGUCCAACACUUGUUGUUACUAGAGGCCGUAUAUACUACUCCACGAGAGUCACGGAAGAAGUAUACUUGUUAGUAUAUAUUUCAGUAUGCUAUAAAUUAUAUCAAAUUAUUUUAAAUCACCAAAUAAAGGUAAAAAUGUCUUGAUUGUUUAUUAUUUCCACAUAAUUAUUUACCGCGAACAAUGGUUAAUUUGUUAUAUUGGGUUAUCUGGGUAAUCGGCAACCGAGACAAAAUAUUAAUUUAUCAAACCCAACAAGUAUUUAUGUUAUCUCUAUUAUUAACGUUGUAAUAUUAACAGAUCUUCGCAAUAGUUGAGUUUUAUCAUUCAAUUUAUAAUCGUGUAAGACAAGCAAUAACAUAGAAGAAGAAAAUAUACCGAAUAAAACUUUUCUCAGAAGCUAGCCGGAAAUUGAAGUUUAAUGAAGAUAUAAUUUAAUUAAAUAGAGUAAUCAGAUGUGAUAAGUUGAAAAAAUCUGAUAACUGAAGGGAAAAAGAAACGCCUGCAAUUGUCACCUUUUACAUGGAAGCAGGUACCCAGUGGAUCUAUUCUUGGUUAAGUUUUUUUUCCGCCGGAUUCCACACGGCACCUAUGCUGAUACUGUCCGGAGAAAGAUAAUUGGUACUAUCAAUCUCCUAGUGGACCCCAACCCCCUCUAUCACGGUAGCCGGCUGCCUAGAGGUUAAAAAACAUAAAUACGCUCACCAAGAAGUUUCUUGAAAGUGUACGUUUGCAUACGAAAGGGAGCUCUAGUCUUACCAAAAUUUCAAGCAUUUUAGUAAUACUUUCGGAUUUUUUCAGUAUAAUAUGAAACAAAUUUCAGCUUUAGUCCGUCCCAUCCGCAAAGUAUCCGCAUAUUCGUAUAGUGCAAGAUCCAUAUAGACAAAUAUUUCUGCAACGUGGUGCAGCAAAAAUCAACAAUUAUGAUAGAUUGGCUAUUUAUCUCAAUUUUCAUAUGAGACUAAUGUGCGAUUACGGUCGGUAUAGCCGUAGCGAGUUUUUGUUUCGCCAUCAACUAGCAAGUUUUAAGGAACUUGUUUUAUUUUUUCGCAGUGCCACUAAUUAAAAUCUCGGCUCAUUCAACACUUAUCAAAAUGUUUCAUCCUCAUCAAAUAUCAGUGUCGGACUAAAUUUGAGAUCAGACUAUGGCACUAUGAUAUAUUGUAUUUUAACCUAGGCUAGUAUUUGCAAUACCGCGAAAGCCCUAAGUUUUUUCAUUCAAAUCUUGGUUUAUGAUCUAGCAGUCUCAAUGAGAAUCGAGUUAUAUUUGCGUCGUCUUAAAGAACCUAAUUUCUGUUAUCAAGUUGAAAUAUAUUCUUGGUCGAUUUCGUUAGGCUUCGAUUGUGUGAAUUUGAAGCAUUUUCGCUGUAUUAAAAUUUAGCCUGCACAGUAAUUAGCAACUAUAUUAUCGCCCUGACAAGCACCCCCAAAAAUUCACUUUUAUCGGAUGUUGGACAGUGUGCUGAACGAAAUUGGUAAUGUCUCCCAACCAGGCACGCUUUACCCGGGCCCAGGUUCGAGAAAGUCGUUUCAUCGUUCAUCUGAACCGUUUUGCAUAUGAAUUGCGUUAAUUAUUCCAAUGAUGUUCGAAGGAGAUCAGCGAUUUACAUGGAAACAUUACUGUUUGAGCAACGAAGACCACCUAAGAAGGAACUGCCUUGUUUAAGUUUAUACCGAACUCGCGUGCUUUAUUGCGGGUACUGAAAAAAACAUUAAAACUGUUCAUUUGACCUACAGAAUAUCGUAGGUCAAAUCUUCAAAACAAAUUACUCGUGCGUUUCCAAAGAAAGAUUAUUCAUUGGUAUUUUAUUACGCAGUUUUCAGCAUAUACUAAAUAUAUAUAAUUUUGAGCUUUUUUUUGGUUAUUUGAUUUACUGUUGAUACAACUCUUUGUUCGGUUGGUGACAAUCGGUAGAACCCGCAGAACUAAGGAGUGUAUCGAAAAUGAGCUAUCCACAAAUGUUUCUUUCAAAUUAUGAUAAAAAACGAUAUUUUGAUAUUUUAUUCAAACUAAAAAUUG